rnacentral:rRNA from 1 species
GAUGAACGCUGGCGGCGUGCCUAAUACAUGCAAGUCGAGCGAACAGACGAGGAGCUUGCUCCUCUGACGUUAGCGGCGGACGGGUGAGUAACACGUGGAUAACCUACCUAUAAGACUGGGAUAACUUCGGGAAACCGGAGCUAAUACCGGAUAAUAUAUUGAACCGCAUGGUUCAAUAGUGAAAGACGGUUUUGCUGUCACUUAUAGCUGGAUCCGCGCCGCAUUAGCUAGUUGGUAAGGUAACGGCUUACCAAGGCAACGAUGCGUAGCCGACCUGAGAGGGUGAUCGGCCACACUGGAACUGAGACACGGUCCAGACUCCUACGGGAGGCAGCAGUAGGGAAUCUUCCGCAAUGGGCGAAAGCUUGACGGAGCAACGCCGCGUGAGUGAUGAAGGUCUUCGGAUCGUAAAACUCUGUUAUUAGGGAAGAACAAAUGUGUAAGUAAAUAUGCACGUCUUGACGGUACCUAAUCAGAAAGCCACGGCUAACUACGUG